UGAAAGGUGCAAUGCAGGAACUGCUGC
rnacentral:piRNA from 1 species